UACGUAGGGGCAAGCGUUGUCCGGAAUCAUUGGGCGUAAAGCGCGCGUAGGUGGUCCCGUAAGUCCGCUGUGAAAGUCAAAGGCUCAACCUUUGAAAGCCGGUGGAUACUGUGGGACUAGAGUACGGAAGAGGCGAGUGGAAUUCCUGGUGUAGCGGUGGAAUGCGCAGAUAUCAGGAGGAACACCAAUAGCGAAGGCAGCUCGCUGGACGUUACUGACACUGAGGCGCGAAAGCGUGGGGAGCGAACAGG
rnacentral:rRNA from 1 species